CACCACGCACCAGGCGCAUCUCCACUCUCUCUCUCUAUAUCCCUCCAUCUUCGUCUCCCAGCGACCUUAUCUGCUGACACCGACGUCUGCCUCGCGGCGCAACGCGCCUUCACCCUCUCCUCCUUCUACCGCCUCUGUGUGCCUUGCCGCGGGGCACAUGGAUGCCGACGAUCUACCGUUGCGGAGCGGAUCCUAAGCGCGUCGCCGUGCCCUGCCUGGAGAAGUGGCUAGCCAUGCCGCCAUCUUCUCUCCAUCGAUUGCGUUGAAUGUGUGGGAGAAGCUCGGGCUCCAAAUCUGUGGAGUCAGAUUUGGAUUUUCGAUUUCUGCAUCUUAUUUCCUUUCGAAGAAGCCCUCUUCAGCGGCAGCGAGCUGGACGAAGUAGUCGGAGCUUAACUGGCCGGUCUGUUCGGAUAAAGUGGAACGGCGCAGUGGCGGACCACGGCCGGACUCCCAAUAUUUGAGACACCUUUGCCUCUUCCUCAGGAUGUAGACGUUCGUUCCAUACAUGGAUGGUUUCUUCUUGGCUGCCUUUGGGCUCGAGCUGCCACAAGUAUGACUGACAUGCACAGUAUAGCUGCCACAACCGCCAUCAAGUCCAGGUUUAACUGUUGGCCUCUGGAGAAUACUGAAUUUAGCUGAUACGAGUCCAAUGGAAUUUAUGCAUGUGCACAUAUUCAUUAUACCAUUAUAGUCAUGUAUCAUUCUUAAAUAUUUUUGUCAAAUCAUAAUCAUUGUUCUCUUGAUCCUUUUAAGAGCCAA